rnacentral:rRNA from 1 species
UACGGAAGGUCCAGGCGUUAUCCGGAUUUAUUGGGUUUAAAGGGAGCGUAGGCCGUUUGAUAAGCGUGUUGUGAAAUGUCGGGGCUCAACCUGGGCAUUGCAGCGCGAACUGCCAGACUUGAGUGCGCAGGAAGUAGGCGGAAUUCGUCGUGUAGCGGUGAAAUGCUUAGAUAUGACGAAGAACUCCGAUUGCGAAGGCAGCCUGCUGUAGCGCAACUGACGCUGAAGCUCGAAAGCGUGGGUAUCGAACAGG